GACGAACCGUGCGAACGUUGUUCGGAAUCACUGGGCUUAAAGGGCGCGUAGGCGGGCCGGCAAGUCAGGGGUGAAAUCCCACGGCUCAACCGUGGAAGUGCCUUUGAUACUGUCGGCCUCGAGGGAGGUAGGGGCGUGCGGAACUUCCGGUGGAGCGGUGAAAUGCGUAGAUAUCGGAAGGAAUACCGGUGGCGAAAGCGGCGCGCUGGACCUCUUCUGACGCUGAGGCGCGAAAGCCAGGGGAGCAAACGGG
rnacentral:rRNA from 1 species